rnacentral:lncRNA from 1 species
CGGUUGGAAGAAGUCCGGAAGGGAUUCGGAGAGUAGUUGAUUACUGUAGAAGGUCGGCUGGCAGUGAGGCCCAGAGAGCUUUUGGGGUGGCCCGGUAGAUGAAUGUAGAAGUUCAUUAUCGAAAAAGUCCGGACGGUCGAGAGGGUUCGGAGAGAUGCCACACACAAGGUCGAAAGUCGGAAGAGCCCUAGAAGGGUCGAUCUUUUACAAACUUCGGCCGGGGGG